rnacentral:rRNA from 1 species
GACGAACGCUGGCGGCGUGCCUAAUACAUGCAAGUCGAACGCUUUUUCUUUCACCGGAGCUUGCUCCACCGAAAGAAAAAGAGUGGCGAACGGGUGAGUAACACGUGGGUAACCUGCCCAUCAGAAGGGGAUAACACUUGGAAACAGGUGCUAAUACCGUAUAACACUAAUUUCCGCAUGGAAGAAAGUUGAAAGGCGCUUUUGCGUCACUGAUGGAUGGACCCGCGGUGCAUUAGCUAGUUGGUGAGGUAACGGCUCACCAAGGCAACGAUGCAUAGCCGACCUGAGAGGGUGAUCGGCCACACUGGGACUGAGACACGGCCCAGACUCCUACGGGAGGCAGCAGUAGGGAAUCUUCGGCAAUGGACGAAAGUCUGACCGAGCAACGCCGCGUGAGUGAAGAAGGUUUUCGGAUCGUAAAACUCUGUUGUUAGAGAAGAACAAGGAUGAGAGUAAAAUGUUCAUCCCUUGACGGUAUCUAACCAGAAAGCCACGGCUAACUACGUGCCAGCCGCCGCCGUAA